rnacentral:rRNA from 1 species
AUUGAACGCUGGCGGCAUGCCUUACACAUGCAAGUCGAACGGUAACAGAUCUUCGGAUGCUGACGAGCGGCGAACGGGUGAGUAAUACAUCGGAACGUGCCCGAUCGUGGGGGAUAACGAAGCGAAAGCUUUGCUAAUACCGCAUACGAUCUACGGAUGAAAGCAGGGGACCGCAAGGCCUUGCGCGAACGGAGCGGCCGGUGGCAGAUUAGGUAGUUGGUGGGAUAAAAGCUUACCAAGCCGACGAUCUGUAGCUGGUCUGAGAGGACGACCAGCCACACUGGGACUGAGACACGGCCCAGACUCCUACGGGAGGCAGCAGUGGGGAAUUUUGGACAAUGGGCGAAAGCCCGAUCCAGCCAUGCCGCGUGCAGGAUGAAGGCCUUCGGGUUGUAAACUGCUUUUGUACGGAACGAAAAGACUCUGGUUAAUACCUGGAGUCCAUGACGGUACCGUAAGAAUAAGCACCGGCUAACUACGUGCCAGCAGCCGCAGUAA